rnacentral:rRNA from 1 species
GAUGAACGCUAGCUACAGGCUUAACACAUGCAAGUCGAGGGGAAACGACAUCGAAAGCUUGCUUUUGAUGGGCGUCGACCGGCGCACGGGUGAGUAACGCGUAUCCAACCUGCCCAUCACUUGGGGAUAACCUUUCGAAAGUAAGACUAAUACCCAAUGAUAUCUCUAGAAGACAUCUGAAAGAGAUUAAAGAUUUAUCGGUGAUGGAUGGUGAUGCGUCUGAUUAGCUUGUUGGCGGGGUAACGGCCCACCAAGGCAACGAUCAGUAGGGGUUCUGAGAGGAAGGUCCCCCACAUUGGAACUGAGACACGGUCCAAACUCCUACGGGAGGCAGCAGUGAGGAAUAUUGGUCAAUGGGCGAGAGCCUGAACCAGCCAAGUAGCGUGCAGGAAGACGGCCCUAUGGGUUGUAAACUGCUUUUAUAAGGGAAUAAAGUGAGAGUCGUGACUCUUUUUGUAUGUACCUGAUGAAUAAGGACCGGCUAAUUCCGUG